GAUAAUAAUAAGUGAUAACACUACAAGAAAAUAUGUAGAUACCGACAGUCAAUUUGAGGCACAUGUAAAGGAACCGCCGCCGCUCUUGUCAAUCCCGACGGUUAUUGCGGCGUUCAUUCAACUGCCUUUGCUGUUUGUAACUCUCGGCGGUUUUACUAGUGAAAAUCAAUUGCUCUUCAAGACUCACACGUUUCCCUCUGUAGCUCCGAUUGCUCUCUCUCAACACAGCCAAGGGGCAGUAGGAAGCAAGGGCCAGAGACAUGAUCGUGAGAGAAGAGGAUUGAGAGAAUCUUGAGUUAUUCAUGCAUCUGAUGACAAUGUUGAACUUGUCUUGUCAAUGCAGGUAAAAUCAUUGUUAACUCUGAUAGUAACCCAAUCCUCGUGAAGGAAAAAUAACUCAAGCAUCUUGGUAAUGGAGAUGUCAAUUCUCAUGUUUGUAAAGUGUGUUUGGAAUCUUCAACUGCGGCAAUUCUUCUUCCAUGUCGUCAUUUUUGUUUUUGUAAAUCUUGUUCACUUGCAUGCUCUGAAUGUCCUUAUUGAGUUGUUAUAUCCACAGUCACGGGUGCAAUUCUUUCAUUAGUUUACUUUUAUGCAACCUUUCAAAAGGUAAAUUGAUAACAUAUUCUUUCUUUUCGCUAGAUAACUGUAUAUGUAAGGGGAGACAAAAGGGUGGGAAAAAAGAAUGUAAAAAGGAAAAGGAUGUAAACCGCAUUGCAGAAGUAAAUAUGCACAAUGUGUGUUGUUUCCAAUUUAUAUAUUUUUAAAUCAGUAGAUUAAACUAAGAAAAUUGUUAUCGUCUUUUCCAAUUUUUUGCAGUUUGUUCCACAUAGUCAUAUGGGCACUCCAUUCCGUAAACUGCAGGGUGACAACAAAUGUUAUAUUUAAACAUUUUCAUACAUGGAAGCGGUUAUGUCCCUUGUUGGCUUUGACUUGUACAAUAAAGUGCUUCAUAGUCAUACAAGCCUAAUUUGGAUUUUCCAUUUCACUCAUAGGUAACAUAUCAUACUCAUUAGUUGUUGUGGACCAUUGUGAUACUACUAGGAUUAGUAUUAUCCAUAUCUUCAAUAUGAGUCAAUUAGGAUUGACGACGAGUUUGACAUAAUCAAAGUGUGCCACCUUGGUUGCUACAAUUUGUAGGUUCAACAAAAUCAGAGUGCCUUGGUGAUAUGAGACAUAGAUGCAUUGAUGAUACGAGAUAUAGAUACAUAUAUAGAUGCAUUGGUGAUAUAUGUAUAGAGUUUCUUUUUCUUGUCAUUUGUGUACUCUGCAUUUAUCUCUGAUUUUCCUUUUGAAGAGAAGAACCUUACUCUUUCUUUUUGUAUAUGUAUUGUAAUGCUUUUCUUCACUUGUUUACAGGUCAAAAAGUUCUUUGAAAUGGCCUCCAAAUCGCUUUUAGACAUUUGGUCUUGUGUAAAUGUGUUUAUUAAAAGUAUUUGAAAAAGACAUCAUUUAGGCUUCAAUUGAUGCUCAAUGGUGAAUUUGGCCUCAAAGAUGCUAUCUAAAACCAUAUUUUUAUUGGCAUUUUGGUCGGCGGAAUAGUUUGGAGCUUGGUUCUGGACUUUUAAGUCGACAAAGAACUACACUUUACAAAGAGUGCACUAGACCAAAUGGACUGGAUUGAAAAAAUCACAGUGAUGUUGGUGCUCACAACAAAUUGAAUCAAGUGAUGGGAAAUUGAAGGCACUGAGAUUGAGUUCAUUAAUUAUAACAUAGGUAUCAAUUUUUUGUACUACUUAUUUGGAUUUAUUUUUUUUAGAUUGUUCCCUUGAAGUUUUGUUUGUGUUGAUGGAUUUAUUUGGUCUCGAUUGUUGGUGAACUUUAAGCUUGGUUAUUGUAGGAAAAUGCUUAAUUAAUGAACACAUAUGUUUUGUAGCACUGGAUAGGUGUAACUAAUGCUAUAUAAGGGGUUAGCUUAUGCUAUAUCUUUUAUUCGUGUCUUGGUUCUAUUUUAAGUUGUUUCUAUUGAUUAUUAAAUAACAAUGUGUAUCAAAUGAGGCAUAUGGACUUGAAUUAGUUUGCAUAAUUUAAAGAGGCUAGUGUGUUAAAUUCUCUGGACAACUUAUGUCAUUUUGUGAACAAUUGACUUAUUCUGUUUGACACUUCCAAAGCACCUUUACUCAUGUUGCACGGGUUGAAGGGUGAGAGGCUUGGAGUUCACCAAUCUAAUGUAGAACGUAUUCUCUGUGACAUGGUUCAGGUAAAGGCACAUGGUGCUAAUGUAGUGGAAGUUGCCUAUCCUUAUUGUUUAUCAUGGCCAAAUUGUGAAGGUGGUUUAUAUGAUGAUGAUGUGCACGUACACGCGGUUACAAGCAUUAAAGCUUGCUUUGGAAUUGGGGGCUGUUUUUUUUAUGGAAUUGGAUCUCAAGGUAUACCAACAGUAAUUCAAGUGUGAAAUUAGAUGAUCUAUAUAGUUGAUUUUUGUUGUCUAAGAGCUUAUAAGCAUCUUGUUUGUUUUGCUACACUUUUUAAUGUAAUAGUUUUAUGUUUAGUGUGUUAACUCAAAGCAAUUUUGAUGUAAACUUGUAUCAUUUUCUACAUGAAUUGUGAGAAUCAAUUACUUGAUAUGUUCAGUAAAAUAAUGUGUCUGCGA